UCAGUCAGUCAGUUUGUCAGUGUGUAAGCUGCGGGGCCAGCAAUUAACUAUGCAAUACGCUGACGUCACCAGCGACUGCAACUCCAACUCCAAUUCGCCAGCUCGAAAAUGCCGCAUCAUGUUGCCGGCUGAAUGACGCCUUUGAUUUGUUUUGCAAGUGUGUUGUUGCUAUAUCCGCUACAAAGGCAUUUGCAUUUCAAAUGAAUUACAACGCCCCGGAGGAAUAUCAAACCAACAAAAAAAAAACAAACCAAAAACAAAAAGGAAACCAAAAAAAGUAUUGUGUACAGGUCCUGCGCCUGCUGAAAUAUAAAUGUUAAUCCAGGCAGCGUCAAUUGCAAAACGUUCAGAGCGCUGUUGACAGCAUCAGCCCAGGACAACACCACCAGGGACACACAAUCCGAUGAGCGCACCAUUGGCCAGGGCCUGGGCAGUGUGUCAACGGCUUUUUAAUUGAUUUUCAUGGGCUGCAGUUUUU